UACAGAGGUCUCAAGCGUUGUUCGGAUUCAUUGGGCGUAAAGGGUGCGUAGGCGGCGCGGUAAGUCGGGUGUGAAAUCUUGGAGCUUAACUCCGAAACUGCAUUCGAUACUGCCGUGCUUGAGGACUGGAGAGGAGACUGGAAUUUACGGUGUAGCGGUGAAAUGCGUAGAGAUGUGGAGGAACACCAAUAGCGAAGGCAGCUCGCUGGGACGUUACUGACACUGAGGCGCGAAAGCGUGGGGAGCGAACAGGA
rnacentral:rRNA from 1 species